UAGGGAAUCUUCGGCAAUGGACGAAAGUCUGACCGAGCAACGCCGCGUGAGUGAAGAAGGUUUUCGGAUCGUAAAACUCUGUUGUUAGAGAAGAACAAGGACGUUAGUAACUGAACGUCCCCUGACGGUAUCUAACCAGAAAGCCACGGCUAACUACGUGCCAGCAGCCGCGGUAAUACGUAGGUGGCAAGCGUUGUCCGGAUUUAUUGGGCGUAAAGCGAGCGCAGGCGGUUUCUUAAGUCUGAUGUGAAAGCCCCCGGCUCAACCGGGGGGGGUCAUUGGAAACUGGGAGACUUGAGUGCAGAAGAGGAGAGUGGAAUUCCAUGUGUAGCGGUGAAAUGCGUAGAUAUAUGGAGGAACACCAGUGGCGAAGGCGGCCCCCUGGACGAAGACUGACGCUCAGGUGCGAAAGCGUGGGGAGCAAACAGG
rnacentral:rRNA from 1 species